GAGUUAGCGAGCUGCGAAGUCGCGGAAUCCCGCUUUGGGGACCUAAAGAGCCCUUGCCGCGGCUGGGGCUAGGACCCGAAAAUAAACAAGCCGGAUAUGACGCACGCCUCCUCCCAGGAUGGCGGCUGGCCGGGUUGUCAUGGGAACCGGUCGGAGCCGAGCAGGAAGAGGCUCGUAUUCGCGAGCGCCAUUGGAGCGACUCUCUGACUUCGUUUCCAGGACUUGGAUCUUGUGAGACAAUCCGUGAGUUGCGUUUCCGACUGCGCCUGAGCAGAAGAUGACAUUUGGACCCCUUGCCCCCAUUUUACAGACGGAAAUACCAAGGCUUAAAGAGAGCGAGAUGCCCAAGAUCACGCGAGACGGAAUCCAGCUUUGAGAGGACUGUAGAUAGACUGUCGUUAGGAACGGAGGUCCCACUUUACCUUUGCCACUUACUAGCUGUGUGACUUUUGGCAAGUUAAUCAGCCUCUCUGAGUCUCUGGUUUUACACUUGUAAAAGAAUAAUAAUAAUACUGCCUCCUGGGAUUCAGCCAGUGUUGAGAAAGACCAAACCAAAAUAUGGCCUCCUUGCUUUGGGACUUUUUACCUGGUACCUGCCAUACCUGCAUGGCCUUACACUGGCAUCAAUCCUGGUGGCUUGUCACUUCACUUCAUGGAUUUGUCUCUAUUUCCACCCACUACAUUGACCGGGAGCUCCUGGAGGACUCUGCUCACUAAAUCCCUCGUGCUUGCAAAGUGCCAAGCACAUACUCAAGACUUUGGUGAACAUACUGCAAUUGAACCAUUCAUUUUGUUUCUCUAACUUAGCCACCAGACAUUCACUGAAGACUUAGAGCCCACUUGGUGCCAAGCUCUCUUCCUCCAACAUGCUCUUAGCUCCCUGCACUUAACCAUGCUCUUCCACCCUUCUGUCCUCUGUGCCUCUAUAUGGUGUUCCCUCAGUGUGAAUGUUCUUCCCCUCACCUCUUCCCUUCCUCUUUUUCUUGGCUUCCAGCUCCAGCUCAGUCUUAGCAGCUUUUCUGCAGCUUUCUCUGAUUUCUAGGCAAACACCCAACUUCCUCUAAUUCCAUACAACACUGUUUCCAAAUUUUAUCUCAGCUCUUAACACAGUGGAUUAUAUAUAUAUUUUAAACCUAACACCCCCACAAGACCUGGAGCUCCUUACUUAUCUGUUUCUCCUGAGCUCUGUACAUGUCUAUCAGGAGGUGCCCAACAGAUGUUCCUUGAUUGCAGGGUUCUCUCUUUCAGCCUUGGUGUCCCCAGCUAAAGCUGGCAGGUCUUGUCUCAGGACUUAAAGACAUAAUACAUGGGGAAGCAUUUGGAGAAACAGCAACUUGCUUUUUCACACAA